AGGAAUCCAUUCACUUUCACCAGAUUCCUUCACCUUUUUGGAAAAAAAAAAAGAACACAAAUGACAAACAAAAAGUGUCUUUUUCUACACAUAAUGCCAUUAUAUAGAGAGAGGAAAGUUUCGGGAGUGAAUAUGAUUCUUCUUAUGAACAUCCACUCUCAUAAAUAGUAAUGCUCCAAUGCAGAAACUAAUACGAAAGGAAAAAGAAGUAGCAUGGCUCUCAAGACUGAUAUUAAUCACUGAAUAUCACCACUUGGAUCCUGAUUAUGCUCUGAAGUGUGCAGUGUACCCGAUUCCAUAUACGUACAAAGAGAGUGGUAUUCUAUGUGGAUAUCUGAUCACAAGACAAGAAUAAACAAAAGGGAGAAAACUUGGAUGUCAAAAACAAGGAUUAUAAUCCAGUAAUGCAAUGUCCUGUUAAACUAGCGGUUUAAAGCACACAUUGUAUCAAGAAAACCAAAUACCACAGCAAAACUUGAGAGGGAAUCCAUAACAACAUAGCCAUGGCCCAUGGUCAGGCAAAAGAAACAGGAACGAAACUUGAGGCAAGGGUCUAAUAAAGUAUCCAUGGCUCAACGAAAUCCCUUGCUAGAUGAAGACAGUAGUCUACAUGAAACUCAAACCUUGAUUACAUGAAAACCAAAAGACAAACUGCAUCAUCAUUAGAUUCAGGAACAUCGUUCAAGAAAACAGAUCAAGAAAAAAAGCUACUACAAACUGUCAGUGUAUAGAGGAAAGGAAAUAUAUAAAAAAACUGAAUUGUAACCGAAGUUUUCAUCAACAGAACCACAUGGUAGGAUUUGGCGUAGAUACUAGUCAACUAUGAACACAUGAUUGGAAGUACAGCUACAAACAAAAACAAAAUGAUUGAUCUUUUAUCCUUAAAAAAAAAAAAAAACUAAACCAAACCUUUCAAAGAGACAAGAAUCAUCCAUCUCUACUAUCUUUAAUUACCACCAAUCACAGUCCAAGAACAAAAGUCCUUAAUUUUUUUUUUCUUAGACAAGAAUUUACUUGAUUUCUUCUUCUUUCACUUACACCUAAGAACCUCAAGAAAUAAUAAUACUUUCAAUCAAAUUUGGGAUAAAUUUCAAAUAUUUGGUUUAGCAACAGACUAAACUUUCCCAAUCCAAAAGUAUCUUAACAAAAAAAAAAAAAAAAAGAGGCGACAAAUGAGGAAGGAGAAGCGCUGGAUGCAGAGGUUUAUCGAUCGAUUCAUGCUUUCGAUGUAAAGUGUCCAACAUCGAAAGAAAAUUUCUCAGGAAUUGAUCGAUGAACCGCUGCCUCCAGCGACUUCAACUAUCAUCAUAUUCGUCAAAGAAAGUAAAUAGGACUCGAGCAAAUUAGAAUAAUUCACAGAUCUGAAAAAAUCGGUGCUGAACACAAAUUAAUCAUUGAUGGAAGCUGGAUCUCAAAAGUAGAUAAAUUUACAGAGAGAGAGGUAGAUGCAGAGUAAUAUCUACGAGCUUGUAUUAUAUAUAGAGAGGCGUGGCUACAUACACAGAUGCAUGUGAGAAUCUGAGAGUUUCAAAUAUCAGUAAAAAAGUAGACUCAACGAAAUUGAAAAUGAAGAGGAAUCUGAUGACUCACCGUUUUUUCUUCUUUUUGCCGUACAUAAUUUUCUCAUCUUUUGUCCUUUUGGUCAACAAAUUGGAGUCCUUGAUUGAAGAAAAAACAAAAUUAUUCUUCUUUUAUGUCAACCUUUUCAACUUUUUUUUUCAUUCUAUUUUCUAGUCUUG
rnacentral:lncRNA from 1 species